rnacentral:lncRNA from 1 species
CGAUACUCGUCCGAGCCGUGGAAGUCCUCCACCGCCCAGCUCAACGCCUCUUUAGCUGACUCCGCCUCUGCCUUCGCUAUGUCGGCGUCGGCUUGGGCGGUGGACAGGUUCUCCUCAGCCUUAGUCAGAUUUUUCAAGCUGACCCAAAGUUGUUCGCAUUCGGCCUCGAGCUCACUAAUGCAACCAUCCCGCCCACGCC